rnacentral:lncRNA from 1 species
AGAAACCCUAGUCCGGCGCCUCGGGCCUGGGGACGAGAAGAUGAGGGCGUGCCGAUGCGCCGAGCCCCCCGCUCCAUCUGCAGAAGCGGCAGAGAGAGGGAGUGGACGAAGCGCGGUGCCGCGGCCGCUGGGGCCGAGGAAGGCGAAGGGGGCGGUGGACUCAGGUGUAGGUUCCAUGCCUCGGGUCGCUGAGGGGAGUCUGCCCUGGACUGUACAGCCGAGGUCACGUUAAGGGAGCUGAGGGCACGGCCCACUGCAGAUGCCGCGCGUGUGGGCACGGCAAAAGCGGCCCCUUCUCCCAGGAUAGAAACGGAUCAACGGAAGCGCGUGUGAGUGUGGGGGUGCGAAUCGCCACCUCCAGCCUUGGCUUUCCCGCUCUUCCGAGCGCUCCCACUUCUCACUUUCCCCAAAUCCGCAUUUUCCUUGGCACAGCUCUCCCCGAGCUAGAAGGAGAGGGAGGUACCCGGGGGCAGUGAGAAUGACGUGUGCUGGUGCAGAGAGGGCGUGGGGGGCUGCGGGCCAGGCGCUGUGGACCGGCUCCUAAUCCUCUUGUUUUCGGUACUGUCAGUAGAUGUGGCUUCUUUUAGCUGAAUAAUCCGUUAAAAGAAUAAUAAUUUUUAAAAAGGAGAUCGACCUCACCCAAAGAGGACGGCGAACAGGAUUAGGGCUUGUAGAUCUACUGCCUUUCGUUGGGCUGGCUGAAACGCUGCGGACUGAGACCAGUCUCUUCAAAAGGAAGAACAUAAAGAGGAAGACCUUGAGUGGACCCCCGGACAAAGCACUUUGGGCUCGGCGAGAAGGGACGCGCGGGAGCGCUGGCUCGGAAACAGUGAUCUCCGGUGCCCAAGGGCGCCCGCCCGGCGCACGGACCUCUGAGGGCAUUCGGGCUGAAUUUGAUUUAUCCUUUUGGGAUCCAGCCGCAUUAGACACGAGUGACCUUUUAAAUCUACGCCCACUCUUUACCUGCGAGAGGACUGCAGCAGGCGAGUUCCGGAAGGCUGACUGCCCAGAUCCCGGCCCCGGCCCGCGGCAGCGGCCCCCGCGGCACGCCCGGCCGGGCUGCGCCUGGACUCCGUGA